rnacentral:rRNA from 1 species
ACGGGAGGCAGCAGUGGGGAAUAUUGCACAAUGGGCGCAAGCCUGAUGCAGCAACGCCGCGUGAGGGAAGACGGUCUUCGGAUUGUAAACCUUUGUCUUUGGUGAAGAAGAAAGUGACGGUAGCCAAGGAGGAAGCCACGGCUAACUACGUGCCAGCAGCCGCGGUAAUACGUAGGGGGCAAGCGUUAUCCGGAUUUACUGGGUGUAAAGGGAGCGUAGACGGUCUUGCAAGUCUGAUGUGAAAGGCAGGGGCUCAACUCCUGGACUGCAUUGAAAACUGUAAGUCUUGAGUGCCGGAGAGGUAAGCGGAAUUCCUAGUGUAGCGGUGAAAUGCGUAGAUAUUAGGAGGAACACCAGUGGCGAAGGCGGCUUACUGGACGGUAACUGACGUUGAGGCUCGAAAGCGUGGGGAGCAAACAGGAUUAGAUACCCUGGUA